GAAAUGCGAUAAGUAAUGUGAAUUGCAGAAUUCAGUGAAUCAUCGAAUCUUUGAACGCACAUUGCGCCCCUUGGUAUUCCAGGGGGCACACCUGUCCGAGCGUCAUUACACCUCUCAAGCGUAGCUUGGUAUUGGGCCUCGCCUCCCGCCAAGGGGCGUGCCUGAAAAGUAGUGGCGGUCCGGCGUGACCUUGAACGUAGUAAAUUUUCUCCCGUUCCAAAGGCUUUCGCGUCGUGGCCAGCCAGAAAGCGUCAUAAUUUCUCACGAUUGACCUCGGAUCAGGUGGGGAUACCCGCUGAACUUAA
rnacentral:misc_RNA from 1 species